GACGAACGCUGGCGGCGUGCUUAACACAUGCAAGUCGAACGAAGAGCGAUGGAAGCUUGCUUCUAUCAAUCUUAGUGGCGAACGGGUGAGUAACGCGUAAUCAACCUGCCCUUCAGAGGGGGACAACAGUUGGAAACGACUGCUAAUACCGCAUACGAUCUAACCUCGGCAUCGAGGAUAGAUGAAAGGUGGCCUCUACAUGUAAGCUAUCACUGAAGGAGGGGAUUGCGUCUGAUUAGCUAGUUGGAGGGGGAACGGCCCACCAAGGCGAUGAUCAGUAGCCGGUCUGAGAGGAUGAACGGCCAAAUUGGGACUGGGACACGGCCCAGACUCCUACGGGAGGCAGCAGUGGGGAAUCUUCCGCAAUGGACGAAAGUCUGACGGAGCAACGCCGCGUGAGUGAUGACGGCCUUCGGGUUGUAAAGCUCUGUUAAUCGGGACGAAAGGCCUUCUUGCGAAUAGUUAGAAGGAUUGACGGUACCGGAAUAGAAAGCCACGGCUAACUACGUG
rnacentral:rRNA from 1 species